GCUGUACACAUCCAUACACAACAGACACACAUUAUAAUAUGGUGCUGUACACAUCCAUACACAACAGACACACAUUAUAAUAUGGUGCUGUACACAUCCAUACACAACAGACACAUUCUAAUAUGGUACUGUACACAUCCAUACACAACAGACACACAUUCUAAUAUGGUACUGUACACAUCCAUCCACAACAGACACAUUCUAAUAUGUUACUGUACACAUCCAUACACAACAGACACAUUCUAAUAUGGUACUGUACAGAUCCAUACACAACAGACACAAUCUAAUAUGUUACUGUACAGAUCCAUACACAACAGACACAUUCUAAUAUUGUACUGUACACAUCCAUACACAACAGACACAUUGUAAUAUGUUACUGUACACACCCAUACACAACAGACACAUUCUAAUAUGAUUCUGUACACAUCAAUACACAAAAGACACAUUCUAAUAUGGUACUGUACACAUCCAUACACAACAGACACACAUUCUAAUAUGGUACUGUACCCAUCCAUACACAAAAGACACAUUCUAAUAUGGUACUGUACACAUCCAUACAAAACAGACACAUUCUAAUAUGGUACUGUACACAUCCAUACACAACAGACACAUUCUAAUAUGGUACUGUACACAUCCAUACACAACAGACACAUUCUAAUAUGUUGCUGUACACAUCCAUACACAACGAGACACAUUAUAAUAUGUUACUGUACACAUCCACACACAACAGACACAUUCUAAUAUGUUACUGUACAGAUCCACACACAACAGACACAUUCUAAUAUGUUACUGUACACAUCCAUACACAACAGACACAUUCUAAUAUGUUACUGUACACAUCCAUACACAACAGACACAUUCUAAUAUGUUACUGUACACAUCCAUACACAACAGACACAUUCUAA
rnacentral:lncRNA from 1 species